rnacentral:rRNA from 1 species
GACGAACGCUGGCGGCGUGCCUAACACAUGCAAGUCGAACGGGACUCAGCCCUUCGGGACUGAGUUUAGUGGCGAACGGGUGAGUAACGCGUGAGGAACCUGCCUUUCAGUGGGGGACAACAGUUGGAAACGACUGCUAAUACCGCAUAAUGCUUUUUGAUGGCAUCAUUGAAAAAGCCAAAGAUUUAUUGCUGAAAGAUGGCCUCGCGUCUGAUUAGCUAGUUGGUGGGUAACGGCCCACCAAGGCGACGAUCAGUAGCCGGUCUGAGAGGAUGAACGGCCACAUUGGGACUGAGAUACGGCCCAGACUCCUACGGGAGGCAGCAGUGGGGAAUAUUGGGCAAUGGGGGAAACCCUGACCCAGCAACGCCGCGUGAAGG